AUAUGAUGUUAGGGAUUUGGGAUGUCAUUCUAAUUUUAUUUAUCAACUUGUGAAGAGGUAGGGAAAAGAAAUUGAGCUUACGAUUUUUCGCUUAAGUGUAAAUAUUUUCUUUAACAAAUUGAUAAAAUAAAUCUGCAAAAUGAUUAGAAUCCCUUUUGGUAAAAAGCAUGUUCAAAUCUUAACUUCAUUUGUACCAUCAGCUGCAACCUUUGGAGGUGCGGGAUUUUUAACAUUAUUAUAUUUUACUGAUUGGAGAGCUGUAUUGGAUCACGUUCCAUAUUACAGUGGCAAAUUUGUCAAAAAUGAUUAAAAAGAACAUGAAUUGUAAUAUUAGUUAAAUAAAUAAAUCUUAUAACUCA